UACAGACUGUUCGUUUUAUUUAAAAUUUUUUAUGAUUAAUAUUUUUAUACUUACUAGAUGAUAAAACCUGAAUAGUAACUUAUGUGUGACUAAUUUUUUUAAGUUUUCUACAAUUUUUUUAAAUAAGACGAAUGGUCAAACGUGGAUAUGAAAAAAC
rnacentral:pre_miRNA from 1 species